rnacentral:hammerhead_ribozyme from 1 species
GUGCUGAUGAAGAGUCCCAAAUUAGGACGAAACAGCUGUCCAGUAC